rnacentral:rRNA from 1 species
AGUGAACGCUGGCGGUAGGCCUAACACAUGCAAGUCGAACGGCAGCACAGUAAGAGCUUGCUCUUACGGGUGGCGAGUGGCGGACGGGUGAGGAAUACAUCGGAAUCUACUUUUUCGUGGGGGACAACGUAGGGAAACUUACGCUAACACCGCAUACGACCUACGGGUGAAAGCAGUGGAUCUUCGGACCUUGCGCGAUUGAAUGAGCCGAUGUCGGAUUAGCUAGUUGGCGGGGUAAAGGCCCACCAAGGCGACGAUCCGUAGCUGGUCUGAGAGGAUGAUCAGCCACACUGGAACUGAGACACGGUCCAGACUCCUACGGGAGGCAGCAGUAGGGAAUAUUGGACAAUGGGCGCAAGCCUGAUCCAGCCAUGCCGCGUGGGUGAAGAAGGCCUUCGGGUUGUAAAGCCCUUUUAUUGGGGAAGAAAAGCAGCAGGUUAAUACCCCGCUGUUCUGACGGUACCCAAAGAAUAAGCACCGGCUAACUUCGUG